rnacentral:rRNA from 1 species
AUUGAACGCUGGCGGCACGCCUUACACAUGCAAGUCGAACGGCAGCGGGGGAGAAGCUUGCUUUUCCUGCCGGCGAGUGGCGAACGGGUGAGUAAUACAUCGGAACGUGCCCUGUAGUGGGGGAUAACUAGUCGAAAGAUUAGCUAAUACCGCAUACGACCUGAGGGUGAAAGUGGGGGACCGCAAGGCCUCAUGCUAUAGGAGCGGCCGAUGUCUGAUUAGCUAGUUGGUGGGGUAAAGGCCUACCAAGGCGACGAUCAGUAGCUGGUCUGAGAGGACGAUCAGCCACACUGGGACUGAGACACGGCCCAGACUCCUACGGGAGGUAGCAGUGGGGAAUUUUGGACAAUGGGCGAAAGCCUGAUUCAGCAAUGCCGCGUGUGUGAAGAAGGCCUUCGGGUUGUAAAGCACUUUUGUCCGGAAAGAAAUGGCUCUGGUUAAUACCUGGGGUCGAUGACGGUACCGGGAGAAUAUGGACCGGCUAACUACGUGCCAGCCGCCGCGGUAA